AACGAACGCUGGCGGCAUGCCUAACACAUGCAAGUCGAACGAGACCUUCGGGUCUAGUGGCGCACGGGUGCGUAACGCGUGGGAACCUGCCCUUAGGUUCGGAAUAACUCCCCGAAAGGGGUGCUAAUACCGGAUAAUGUCUUCGGACCAAAGAUUUAUCGCCUUUGGAUGGGCCCGCGUUGGAUUAGCUAGUUGGUAGGGUAAAAGCCUACCAAGGCGACGAUCCAUAGCUGGUCUGAGAGGAUGAUCAGCCACACUGGGACUGAGACACGGCCCAGACUCCUACGGGAGGCAGCAGUGGGGAAUAUUGGACAAUGGGCGAAAGCCUGAUCCAGCAAGGCCGCGUGAGUGAUGAAGGCCUUAGGGUUGUAAAGCUCUUUUACCCGGGAUGAUAAUGACAGGACCGGGAGAAUAAGCACCGGCUAACUCCGU
rnacentral:rRNA from 1 species